rnacentral:rRNA from 1 species
GUACACAAAAAUGCACAUAUUGUGAGCUCGAUGAGUAGGGCGGGACACGUGGUAUCCUGUCUGAAUAUGGGGGGACCAUCCUCCAAGGCUAAAUACUCCUGACUGACCGAUAGUGAACCAGUACCGUGAGGGAAAGGCGAAAAGAACCCCGGCGAGGGGAGUGAAAAAGAACCUGAAACCGUGUACGUACAAGCAGUGGGAGCCUCUUAAUGGGGUGACUGCGUACCUUUUGUAUAAUGGGUCAGCGACUUAUAUUCUGUAGCAAGGUUAACCGAAUAGGGGAGCCGAAGGGAAACCGAGUCUUAACUGGGCGUUAAGUUGCAGGGUAUAGACCCGAAACCCGGUGAUCUAGCCAUGGGCAGGUUGAAGGUUGGGUAACACUAACUGGAGGACCGAACCGACUAAUGUUGAAAAAUUAGCGGAUGACUUGUGGCUGGGGGUGAAAGGCCAAUCAAACCGGGAGAUAGCUGGUUCUCCCCGAAAGCUAUUUAGGUAGCGCCUCGUGAAUUCAUCUCCGGGGGUAGAGCACUGUUUCGGCAAGGGGGUCAUCCCGACUUACCAACCCGAUGCAAACUGCGAAUACCGGAGAAUGUUAUCACGGGAGACACACGGCGGGUGCUAACGUCCGUCGUGAAGAGGGAAACAACCCAGACCGCCAGCUAAGGUCCCAAAGUCAUGGUUAAGUGGGAAACGAUGUGGGAAGGCCCAGACAGCCAGGAUGUUGGCUUAGAAGCAGCCAUCAUUUAAAGAAAGCGUAAUAGCUCACUGGUCGAGUCGGCCUGCGCGGAAGAUGUAACGGGGCUAAACCAU